UACGGGGGGGGGCAAGCGUUGUUCGGAAUUACUGGGUGUAAAGGGUUCGUAGGCGGUGUGGCAAGUCGGGAGUGAAAUCUCUGGGCUCAACUCAGAGACUGCUUCCGAAACUGCUGUGCUGGAGUGUGGGAGAGGCGCGUGGAAUUGCAGGUGUAGCGGUGAAAUGCGUAGAUAUCUGCAGGAACACCCGUGGCGAAAGCGGCGCGCUGGACCACUACUGACGCUGAGGAACGAAAGCUAGGGGAGCAAACAGG
rnacentral:rRNA from 1 species